UAGGGAAUCUUCGGCAAUGGACGAAAGUCUGACCGAGCAACGCCGCGUGAGUGAAGAAGGCUUUCGGAUCGUAAAACUCUGUUGUUAGAGAAGAACAAGGACGUUAGUAACUGAACGUCCCCUGACGGUAUCUAACCAGAAAGCCACGGCUAACUACGUGCCAGCAGCCGCGGUAAUACGUAGGUGGCAAGCGUUGUCCGGAUUUAUUGGGCGUAAAGCGAGCGCAGGCGGUUUCUUAAGUCUGAUGUGAAAGCCCCCGGCUCAACCGGGGAGGGUCAUUGGAGACUGGGCGAAUUGAGUGCAGGAGAGGAGAGUGGAAUUCCGUGUGUAGCGGUGAAAUGCGUAGAUAUAUGGAGGAACACCAGUGGCGAAGGCGGCUCUCUGGUCUGUAACUGACGCUGAGGCUCGAAAGCGUGGGGAGCAAACAGG
rnacentral:rRNA from 1 species